rnacentral:rRNA from 1 species
UACAGAGGGUGCGAGCGUUGUCCGGAAUCACUGGGCGUAAAGGGCGCGUAGGCGGCUUGAUAAGCGUGCGGUGAAAGCCCGGGGCUCAACCCCGGGUCGGCCGUGCGAACUGUCGAGCUGGAGCACUGUAGAGGCAGGUGGAAUUCCGGGUGUAGCGGUGGAAUGCGUAGAUAUCAUUAGGAACGCCAAUGGUGAAAACAGGUAGCUGGGGCUGUGCUGACACUGAGACACGAAAGCCAGGGGAGCAAACGGG